rnacentral:rRNA from 1 species
GAUGAACGCUGGCGGCGUGCCUAAUACAUGCAAGUCGAGCGAACAGACGAGGAGCUUGCUCCUCUGACGUUAGCGGCGGACGGGUGAGUAACACGUGGAUAACCUACCUAUAAGACUGGGAUAACUUCGGGAAACCGGAGCUAAUACCGGAUAAUAUAUUGAACCGCAUGGUUCAAUAGUGAAAGACGGUUUUGCUGUCACUUAUAGAUGGAUCCGCGCCGCAUUAGCUAGUUGGUAAGGUAACGGCUUAACAAGGCGACGAUGCGUAGCCGACCUGAGAGGGGGAUAGGCCACACUGGAACUGAGACACGGUCAAGAAUCCUACGGGAGGCAGCAGUAGGGAAUCUUCCGCAAUGGGCGAAAGCCUGACGGAGAAACGCCGCGUGAGUGAUGAAGGUCUUCGGAUCGUAAAACUCUGUUAUUAGGGAAGAACAAAUGUGUAAGUAACUAUGAACGUCUUGAAGGUACAUAAUCAGAAAGCCACGGCUAACUACGUG